UACGUAGGGUGCAAGCGUUAAUCGGAAUUACUGGGCGUAAAGCGUGCGCAGGCGGUUAUGCAAGACAGAGGUGAAAUCCCCGGGCUCAACCUGGGAACUGCCUUUGUGACUGCAUGACUAGAGUACGGUAGAGGGGGAUGGAAUUCCGCGUGUAGCAGUGAAAUGCGUAGAUAUGCGGAGGAACACCGAUGGCGAAGGCAAUCCCCUGGACCUGUACUGACGCUCAUGCACGAAAGCGUGGGGAGCAAACAGG
rnacentral:rRNA from 1 species